UACGUAGGGGGCGAGCGUUGUCCGAAGUUACUGGGCGUAAAGAGUACGUAGGUGGCUUGUUAAGAUACAUCUGAAAGGUGACAGCUCAACUGUCAAUGGUGGUGUAAGACUGGCAGGCUUGAGGCAAGCAGAAGAGUGUGGAACUCCGAGUGUAGCGGUGGAAUGCGUAGAGAUCCGGAAGAACACCGGUGGCGAAGGCGGUCUGCUGGGCCAAGACUGACGCUGAGGCGCGACAGCGUGGGGAGCAAACAGG
rnacentral:rRNA from 1 species